AUACGUAGGUGACAAGCGUUAUCCGGAUUUACUGGGCGUAAAGGGCGUGUAGGCGGUCUUGCAAGUCAGAAGUGAAAUUCCUGAGCUCAACUCGGGCGCUGCUUCUGAAACUGCAGGACUUGAGUGCUGGAGGGGAUAGCGGAAUUCCUAGUGGAGCGGUAAAAUGCGCAGAUAUUAGGAAGAACACCGGUGGCGAAGGCGGCUAUCUGGACAGUAACUGACGCUGAGGCGCGAAAGCGUGGGGAGCAAACAGGAUUAGAUACCCUGUUAGUCCACGCCGUAAACGAUGAGCACUAAGUGUCGGAUGAAUUUUCGGCGCUGCAGUUAACACAAUAAGUGCUCCGCCUGGGGAGUACGGUCGCAAGACUGAAACUUAAAGGAAUUGACGGGG
rnacentral:rRNA from 1 species